UGUCAUUGUUUUGUGUUGUUAAUUGAUUUCCAAUAAUAAAUAUAUACAUACAUUUGCAUAAAGCAGCAUAUUUGCCCACUCCCAUGUUGCUAACAGUAUUAUAUACUUGUCAAAACUCCCUUUAAGGUAAAUUUUGAACAGAUAAAAAAAUGUGUGAUUAAUUUGCGAUUAAUCGCAAUUAACUAUGGACAAUCUUGUGAUUAAUCACGAUUAAAUAUUUUAAUCGAUUGACAGCCCUAGCAAGUUUUUGCCAGAUUUCGCAAUUUGCGGGUUACCUUCUAGACACGACCAGAUGAAGUGAAAAUGUUUAUCAGAUUCCAUUUUUGAUGAUGACGUUUGCACGGACGGUGGCUCUGAGUGAUCAAACAACCCUCUUUUGCCUUUGUUGGCUCUGCAGUUGGGGCUGCUCUACAACCCGUCAGAGGCCCUGAAGAUAGGAAUGUAGGACCAGCUGGUACCUGAAGACCAGGUCCUCACCACAGCCACGCAGGCCAUGACCAAGUGGUUGGCUAUUCCAGACCACGCCAGACAGAUCACCAAGUCCAUGAUGAGGAAGCCAACCAUCGACAAGCUAACAUCCAACAGGGAGGAUGACAUCAAAGAUUUUGUCAACUUCAUCACCAAGGACUCCAUUCAGAAGUCGCUCGGCAUGUAUAUGGAGAUGCUUAAAAAUAGAAGGGGCUAGAGGACAGAGGGAAACAUAGAAAAUGACACAAAUAUACACGCAUCCAGGGGGAGAUGGUGAGGUUAGUUGAAAACACAUCUGCCGUCAGUGUCAUGUGCUUAUUGGUGUCAACUUGCUAAGAUACUUGAAUACUAGCUCACCUUCAUAACAGUGUUCAACCAGGAAGUUCGGCAGAGAGAUACCCAGGAUUGACAUCAAUGAUUCAGUGACAAAUGAACUUUUUUAAUGUACUUUCAAACCUUCCGCUCAAUCGAAGAAUCUUUUUUGUAAACUAAGGACAUGCUAACAGAUAAACACUGUUAAUCCAGUGGUUUCCAACCUGGGGUCUGGGCCCCCCUUAGGGGGCCGCCAAAGAUCACUGGGGGUGCGCCAGGAUUUGUCUACUCUGAAGUUGUCAAACUUAGGUUUGCUCAUGUAUAACUAAAAUCAGAAUAACACAAUUGCUGGAUAAUUUAUACAAAAGUCUGUAUAUAAAACUGUUUAAAAAGAUAUACAUUUUUUGCUACUUGGAAGCAAAAUCUAACAAAAUAUUCUGCUGCAGUCCAUAUUUGUUGGUGUUUAGCCUUUCAAAAACAACAUUUUUACUGUGGUCAAAAAAAACUAUUUGCUCUCCCGCUUGACACAUACAAAGGAGGCCCACACCUGUAUUAACGGGGCGGUCUAGCAGCAGUCAAAUAACACCAUAAAUUACACUUAUUUUUUUGACCACAAUAACAAAAAAAAUAUUUUGGCUCUAACAUUAUUAUAGUAAAUUUAUGAAGUUGUUACAAACCGCUAUUUAAAUCCAUUCAUUACACUUCUCAGCUCAUGUGUUCUUGGUUUUGGAAAAGCAACCUAUGUUGUUGAGCUAUGAUUGGACAAUUGCUGUUUGGGGGAGGGGUUUAGUGAACAGUCAGUUAUUGCCACAGACAGGUCUCCAACAAGUGCCUAGCUUUACUGCACCUUCAAGAACUAUAACAACUAAUGGAAGUGUCUUUGGGUGCAUUUGAACAGCCCACAGUGGGAAAAGCCUUUUGUGAUCUCUGAAUAAAUGGGUGUAUUUACUGUAUGUGGUCAGAAGAUUUAAUGAUGUGAUUAAAGAAUGAGUUGAAGGUGUCAAAAUCACUGUCACUUUAA